GGUUUGUGGACAAAGAAGCAGUCGCAGUUACCAGUGUGUCUCGGAAGGCAACUUUCUACAAUAGACCAAGCUCUACGGACUUCAUAAAUGUCCAUGACAUUUUUCUUGAAUGUGAUCAUGAUUCAAUCAUAUACCUUGGGAAGUCUGUUGAACCAACAAUAUAUGAUCUUUUGGGUGAUCAAGAGGUUGAAAUCUACUUGUUGAAAAAUGGAAAACCAUCAUGGACGAAGAAGAAGUUUCUUUGCUCCAAAGUCAGGUUGUUGCGUCUUAAGACUGGCUCGAGGUGACAAAAUAUGCUGGAUUGGUCUGUGCUUAGGCCCGUCAAGAAUUAAUUCAAGAUAUGUUUAAAGUCUGGCAAGAUUCUCAGCAAGGAACUCUUACUGGUGGCAUGAUAAAGUAUGAAAUACAAUCUAAAAUCAGUUUUAAAUAGAAUGUUGGUUUUCUUUUCCAAUUUACCUGCCUAAGUAGAACAUCUGCCAUGCAAUAUCCAGGGAGCUACUUUUUUCCUUCAAAAAGGCUACUAGA